rnacentral:lncRNA from 1 species
CCCCCCGCCUCGGCAGCAGCCGGACAGCCACAUCUGCCAGCGAGACUGGAAGCAGGUGAGGCUCGCGGGGACUGCGGGGGAGGGAUCCCGGGGACCUGGCUGGUUUGCAGGUCAGCGGGACGGGCUGCUUCGGCCAGCACGUGCACCUCCUGGACCUCUUCCCGGAGACGGCGGACGUCGAGGGCUGGCACCUGGGAGGUGAGACGGCCACCUGCGGAAACCAGCGCCUGCCUAGUGGACCCGAGCCUUUUCCAGACGUCCGUGGGGAGCACCGUGUCACACACUGCACUUACACCACAUCAUGCCAUUUCCAGCCCUAGAACACGGGUGUCAUUACACCCAGGUUACACUUGAAGGAAAGGCAGUCCCAAAGGGGCAGGAAAAUCGCCCCAGGGCUCUCCCAAGCUGC